AGGGCCUUCCUUCCAAGUAAAAUGCAUCAGGAUAAAUAGCGCAUGUAUGUUGGGGUUAAUACCCAGGUGAUGGGUUGAGAGGUGCAGCAAACCACCAUGGCACA